rnacentral:rRNA from 1 species
GAUGAACGCUGGCGGCGUGCCUAAUACAUGCAAGUCGAGCGAACAGAUAAAGAGCUUGCUCCUUUGACGUUAGCGGCGGACGGGUGAGUAACACGUGGAUAACCUACCUAUAAGACUGGGAUAACUUCGGGAAACCGGAGCUAAUACCGGAUAACAUAUUGAACCGCAUGGUUCAAUAGUGAAAGGCGGCUUUGCUGUCACUUAUAGAUGGAUCCGCGCCGUAUUAGCUAGUUGGUAAGGUAACGGCUUACCAAGGCAACGAUACGUAGCCGACCUGAGAGGGUGAUCGGCCACACUGGAACUGAGACACGGUCCAGACUCCUACGGGAGGCAGCAGUAGGGAAUCUUCCGCAAUGGGCGAAAGCCUGACGGAGCAACGCCGUGUGAGUGAUGAAGGUCUUCGGAUCGUAAAACUCUGUUAUCAGGGAAGAACAAAUGUGUAAGUAACUGUGCACAUCUUGACGGUACCUGAUCAGAAAGCCACGGCUAACUACGUG